rnacentral:rRNA from 1 species
CCUACGGGUGGCAGCAGUGGGGAAUAUUGCACAAUGGGGGAAACCCUGAUGCAGCGACGCCGCGUGAGUGAAGAAGUAUCUCGGUACGUAAAGCUCUAUCAGCAGGGAAGAUAAUGACGGUACCUGACCAAGAAGCCCCGGCUAACUACGUGCCAGCAGCCGCGGUAAUACGUAGGGGGCAAGCGUUAUCCGGAUUUACUGGGUGUAAAGGGUGCGUAGGUGGUUUGGCAAGUUAGUAGCGUAACUCCAAGGCUCAACCUUGGAACUACUACUAAAACUGUUGGACUUGAGUGCAGGAGGGGCAACCGGAAUUCCUAGUGUAGCGGUGGAAUGCGUAGAUAUUAGGAGGAACACCAGUGGCGAAGGCGGGUUGCUAGACUGUAACUGACACUGAGGCACGAAAGCGUGGGGAGCAAACAGGAUUAGAUACCCUUGUAGUC